UACGAAGGGGGCGAGCGUUGUUCGGAAUUACUGGGCGUAAAGGGCGCGCAGGCGGCCUUAGAAGUCAGAUGUGAAAGCCCCGGGCUCAACCUGGGAAUGGCAUUUGAUACUCUGAGGCUGGAGUACGGGAGAGGAGAGUGGAAUUCCCAGUGUAGAGGUGAAAUUCGUAGAUAUUGGGAAGAACACCGGUGGCGAAGGCGGCUCUCUGGACCGUAACUGACGCUGAGGCGCGAAAGCGUGGGGAG
rnacentral:rRNA from 1 species